UACGAACUGUGCGAACGUUAUUCGGAAUCACUGGGCUUACAGGGUGCGUGGGCGGCUCAACAAGUCAGGUGUGAAAGCCCCCGGCUCAACCGGGGAACUGCGCUUGAAACUGUUAGGCUCGAGUCAGCUAGAGGUACACGGAACUUCCAGUGGAGCGGUGAAAUGUGUUGAUAUUGGAAGGAACACCGGAGGCGAAAGCGAUGUACUGGGGCUGGUCUGACGCUGAGGCACGAAAGCCAGGGGAGCGAACGGG
rnacentral:rRNA from 1 species